CAGCAUCUUUCCAGCUCCACUGCUGAUGCCACUCUGGCCACCUGAGAUCACCGCAAGUUCUCCUUGUCUUCCAGAACUCCAGAACUUCAGCCACACCACCCGGUCCUAUGCCGCACGCAGACCUGAAGAGCGUGUGGUCUACUCUUCCUACAGGGACUAAUAUGUCUGAAGAAAUGCUGUUUGGAUAAUCAUUGUUCCUGUUCAUCACAUGCAUUGAGAACCAUGCUGAGAAUACCACGGAAUACAGCCUGCGUUACAACAGCGUGCAUCUACUGCUCACAGAGCUGUCUCUGACCGUCGCCCCUUUGUCAGACGUGAGUGACUGCACCUAAAUGGACCGGCUGAAAAAUAGGAGGGGCCCCACUGUCAGCACUGAUAGGAGCUGCAAAGCCUCACAGCCGCCGCUCCUGGGGUCCCUUCCUGCUCUAAAAUCUGCAGCAGUUCCAUCUGGCAGAGUUUUCAAAGUUCUUCCCUGUUUC